GAUCCUGCUCAGGAUGAACGCUAGCUACAGGCUUAACACAUGCAAGUCGAGGGGCAGCAUAUUUAUAGCAAUAUAGAUGAUGGCGACCGGCGCACGGGUGAGUAACACGUAUCCAACCUCCCUUUUACUCGGAGAUAGCCUUUCGAAAGAAAGAUUAAUACCCGAUAGUAUAUGGUUUUCUCAUGAAGACCCUAUUAAAGAAUUUCGGUAAACGAUGGGGAUGCGUUCCAUUAGGCAGUUGGCGGGGUAACGG
rnacentral:rRNA from 1 species